AACAUUUUCUAUCCUUAAACAUGUCAAUACAUUUUGAUAUCAUAUUUAAAUAAUAUAUAAUAUAGGCAUGUAUUUCUUUGGCGUUUUUGCCUUUAUUGUGUUGUUUGCAUUUGAACUUGACAGACUAACUGUGUCCUACCCAAUGCAACGGCCACAUAAUGUUAAAUGCUGUUUAUGAGAUUAAUGCUGAUGUGCCUUUUGGAUGAUUUUUCCUACGUUGUACGUUGUUAUUGCGCGUACGCACGUUGUUCUCCUCGCGUGAGCGCGCAGGCGCAGAUAUAAAAGGGAGAGGUCCGCUCUGCCGCUGCUUGUUACAGAACGCUAUCUUGUAUAAUCCGUUUCGUUUUGUUUGUAGCGUUUAUCAGAAUGUUUAUUUUCCUGUUUUAUAUUCCAUCCUUGACAUGUAUGCGAAGAGUGCGAACUAUCCACAAGGAUUACCAGUUCUGUCCUUUGGGUGUUUUCUUCUCGCCCAAUCACACCAACCCGUCACACCAACUCAUUCCGUUUUCCAGGACAGUUUUGUUCAACAAAUUCUGCUGCAAAGAUGUUAGACCCUCCAUAGGAUAACAAGCAGGCUUGUUGUGCUCCUGAAAAUUAUGAAAGAAAACUAAAAAUGUAAAACUAUGCCAUCCACAUUAAUUCUGCAAGAAUCAGAUAAAUUCAAAUUUCUUUCCGAAAUCAACAAUGGCUUCACCGAGAGGUCACCAUCGGCGCGGAAGCAUGGAUGAACCAGUUUUCAUGUCAGCUGAUAUUAUUCAUCUUGAAGAGGAAUUGAAUAGACCUCAAAAGGACAUUUUCCCAGAAUGCAAAAAGCAUUUGGAGAAAGUUCGUGAUCUCGUGAAUGAGUCUGCAAAUGAUCAUGGCCUUGCUAUUUAUGCAUGCAGAGGAGUAGCAAUAACUUUAGGAAUCGCGAUUGUGUUGUUGGGAUUACCUUUUUAUUUAAUUGAUGAAGAGGUUUUUGAUAUUGUUGCUGCAGGAGGGGCAGCUGCGGCUGUAGUUACUCUAUUAUGUGCUGCUUUUAGACGAAACAGGGAAACACAUCAGAAGAAGAACUUAAAACGAUCUAUCGAAGAGGAAUUUAAGGGAUUUCAGGAUAAAAUGAACCUUAUUAUUGACAUAUUGGAAAAAAACAGUCAACGCACUGAGGAAAUAUUGAGAGACCCUUCACUAUCAGACCACAUUGCCCAGGCAUUAAGUGAACAUUUUGCCUACUGCUUUGAAAAGAGGCACGUCUUCCAGGAACAUGACAGGAGUAAAGUGGGUGACCAGAUGUCUAAAAUUGUGCAUUUGUCUGGAAACAUUUCAGAAAUGAUCGCCAAGAUUAGUUCUGUGCCUGAUAUCCUCAAAGAGAUUAUCGAAGACAACAAGAAGCACCGUGGAAAACCUGCAAAACCCAGACAAGAACUAAUAAAUAAAAGAGAGUUUAAGGAGAAAGUAGAUAAAUUCAUUAAUGAUAUGCAGAAAGGAAUAUGUAUGAUAAAAAAUAGAGUGAAAGAUAUCAACCAAUCAAUAGACAGUAUAUCAGAUAUUUUGAGUUGAACCUGACAAAAUUAAAAAGUAUGAACUGCUGAGACAGAACUUGUUCUUGGAUCCACCUGACAGAGAACAACACAAACAGUGACCGAUAUUACAUUGGCAGUGUUGAAUAAUUUCAGUGUUUCAUUGUCCUACAACAAUUAAUGUUAACAUUGUCAAAAGUUAGAAAUAUAUAUAUGUUUUUUUUUUUUUUUUUUUUUUUUUUUUUCCCAGAGUGUUUUGUUUGUGCUCUGCAUUAUUGAUAAAUAGUGGAUGUUGUUAUUUUGUGUAUAUUUUGUACUUUACAUUUAUCACUUUUUUUUUUUUUUUUACAACAAAACCUGUAAUAAAAUGCACACACAAAAAUGUAUUGGAAUGUAAAGUGAAUAAAGUAUGUUUAAACUUUUAAUGUCCUCACCAAAGGGAAUAUAUAUAUAUAUAUAUAUAUAUAUAUAUAUAUAUAUAUACACACACACAUAUAUAUAUAUAUAUAUAUAAUGGAAUAGCAUUAAAAGUAUCAUAUUAACCAUAACAUGUUGCAAAGACUACAACCAAUGGCUCUGCAGCUGUGUGAAAGGACAUAAUAAUAAACAUUAUCAGC
ensembl:lncRNA